rnacentral:rRNA from 5 species
CCUGGCGGCACUAGCGCGGUGGUCCCACCUGACCCCAUGCCGAACUCAGAAGUGAAACGCCGUAGCGCCGAUGGUAGUGUGGGGUCUCCCCAUGCGAGAGUA